UCCGAAAUAGAUUUUCUUACCUAAGCAAUUUAGAGAUUAUCGAAUUUCAAAUUAAAAACCAAAAGCCAGUACACCGGUGUGAAUCAGAAAGACACUACCACGGUCCAAUAGAUAUAUAGUUAAUGUAUAAAUAAGAUUAUCAGUCUGUGUGUGUUUUUCUGUAUGUAAAGUCGGGAACCGAGACCGGGAUAUUUCUGUGGUUGAGUGAACACUAUCAGUCUCACCCGACAUUAAAUUCAGCAGAAAAUUUGAAGGCGAGACCAGAACAUUGACAAUUUCGAGUCCUGAGUCUAACCGAUCAUUUCCAAGAUGAAGUCGAGUUAUGUUGUUAUAAGCAUGGGCUGCUGUGCCCUAAUUUCGUUGAAUUUGUUCAUUAUUUCACUGCUUGCUCCUGGAUGGCUUGUCUACAGUAAUUUUAACGACAUUGACCUAGAAUUACACAUGGGUUUAUUUUACUUUAAUGAAUGCACUAACAUGAGGAGGUACUGUGCAUCACAUUUCUAUGGUGAUUUUCCAGAAGUCGUAAAUACCAAAGGAAGGUUUACGACAACAGGUGCAUUAACCAGUGUUUUCGGCACCGACAAGGUAUAUGAGGAAUACUUAGCAGAAAUGUUAGUUGCAAUUAUUAUCAUGAUGUUCGCAGUUUGCGCAGUGUUUUUCUACUCGAGAACAAGCAACCCAGCUUAUAUGACGCUGCCUGUAAUACUUCUUUUAAUCCCAGGUAUUUUGGUGUGGAUUGCCACAGGUCGCUGGAUUCAGCUUGAGUACUUCGUCAUGGGUGAUAUGGGUAUACCUUAUAGCCUUAUUCUCAAUGGGAUUGGUGCUACACUGUGUUUCAUCAUCAUCAUCAUUCUCCUGGUUGUCAUGUGCUUUGAUUGGCAAAGAUACAACGGAAACGACAGGCGCGUGUUGGUUAGCAGGAAACAAGAUUCAAUUGCAAACCCACAGUACGUUUACAACCAGCCAACAACUCAACCACAACUUGUGUACUAUUGAUCAUUUAGAAUUUUAAACAAAUAACAGUAGUUAAAACUUUACCAUGGAAAAGAACAAUCAGCAAUACUUGAAUACUAUAGCAUACGGGCAUUUCUAUAUAUGCAACUUCGUUUCAUAAAUGAAUAUGCAAGUGUUACAUGCUACACACGAAUGGGGUGAUGAUUUAGGUUUUUCAUAUGAUAUGAAAUCAUAUAUAAAUGGCGAAAACUACUUUUCCAUACCAUCAAGUCAGGUUGAGUUUAAAAUUUACAAAUGCAUUUUACAUAACAUGCAGUUGUUUUUAGAGGAAAAAUUCCUUUCUCGCAUUCAGAUAUUAAGUGAAAUAGAAAAUAGAGAAUACUGGGGUGCUAAAAUAUAUAGAUUAGAGAAUAUUGGACAAAAAAUAAAGAUUAGAUAAUCAAGACCCUCAGAUCACAUCGAAUCCAAAUUAUUCUAGUAUUAAAAACUAAAAGAUAAAAUUACAUAAGAGAUUGUCACCACAUAUAUUCAUACAUCAUUUUGAUAAUAUACUUUGUUUGAAUUAGUUUAACUGUCAUUUGUAUGCUUACAUAUCUCAAAUCUGUAGAAUUCGUGAAAAUCUCAAAUCUGUAGAAUUCGUGAAAAUCUCAAAUCUGUAGAAUUCGUGAAAAUCUCAAAUCUGUAGAAUUCGUGAAAUAGAAAAUCUAUUUCUUUUUAUCUGAAACUAUAUUCUGUUAACUAUUUAACUUCUCCAAGUAAAUUUGGAAAUCGCGAAAUUAAAUCACCGCAAAGUGGACUAGAAAGGGCUGAACGCGAAAUAAAGUAUCAACAAAAAUUAGUUGGUUUACAGUAUUCAUCCGGAUACAAAAGGCUCAUCCUACCAUUACUUUACCACUUUAGAACGUUAAGUAUGUUGUCAUUAAAAAUGAAUCAUAUAGUUUCGAAGGUAACUUCUUUAUUUCAGAAAUUUACUUAUUAUAUAUUUAUAUUGUAUUUUUAUAUCUUUAAACAUUUGCUUUUUUUAUUUAUCGUAUAUGAUAUAUUUACAUCUGAGCAAUAAAAAUACAAUUUUUAAACUUUA